rnacentral:rRNA from 1 species
UGGCCUCAGUACGGCGAGUGAGCGGCAAAGCUCAAUUUGAAAUCUAGUACCUUCGGUGCUCGAGUUGUAAUUUGAAGGUAGUUUUCUGGUGCUGGCCCUUGUCUAUGUUCCUUGGAACAGGACGUCAUAGAGGGUGAGAAUCCCGUCUGAUGGGGUGUCCAGUGCUUUGUAGAUUUCUACCGAAGAGUCGAGUUGUUUGGGAAUGCAGCUCUAAGUGGGUGGUAAAUUCCAUCUAAAGCUAAAUACUGGCGAGAGACCGAUAGCGAACAAGUACAGUGAUGGAAAGAUGAAAAGAACUUUGAAAAGAGAGUGAAAAAGUACGUGAAAUUGUUGAAAGGGAAGGGUAUUGGAUCAGACUUGGUGUCUUGUGAUUAUCUUCCCUUCUUGGGUUGUGCACUCGCAUUUCACUGGGCCAGCAUCGGUUCGGAUGGCAAGAUAAUGGCUUGGGAAUGUGGCACUCUUCGGAGUGUGUUAUAGCCCUUGUUGAUGU